UGGCAUAGUGGUUAAAGCACUUGGCUGCUAAUCAAAAGAUUGGUGGUUCCAACCCACC
rnacentral:tRNA from 1 species